UGGCUCUCCUGAAGCUUUAUCUUCUCAUAUAAAUACUGCUUCUCGGCUUCUGCUUCUUCAAGACGACGCUUCAGGUACAUACUAGCAUAGUCCUGCUCAGCCUUCUCUGAUUUGGCCUGUGCAAUGCUCUGCAGUCUGUCAGCCUCCUGCUUGGCCUCGUUGGCCUUCAAUUGGAACAUUUCAGCCUCUGCCUGCUUAAGUCUAAUGAUGCUCUCUAGUUCCUCCACCUGUUGUUUCUUUCUCUGCCUCUCCAUUUUUAGCUCUUGAACUUCUCUAGCCUUGUCCUCAAGCUCACGAUCGCAGGCAUCUAGAGCCAAACGAGCUCGCUUAAACAUCCGCAUUUUCUCCUCUGCAACCAUCUCCAUCUUCCUCACAGCUUCUUGGACCACCUCAGCAAUUUUAUUGCAAGCCUCAUGUGGAGAAAUCAGACGCCCAACUUCUUCGUUCUCAGAAUUCUUUGGUGAAUCUAAUUCAAGUUCUGCAAUAGACAAAAAAAUAAGUAACUUAAAAGACUGCAGCAAGUGUUCUAGGCAAACCAAGCAGAAUUUCGCAGAAAAAAGGAAUGGUCAUUGAAGUGUCUAAUUCCAACAGCCUGACUAAUUUGAAAUUCUGUUCAAAGGCCCUAUUGAAGGUAAUAAGUCCCUUGCAAAAAAUUACACCUUACAAGUUAAAGCUAGCUUUGUCAAUGGUGAUCAUCCAUCAAACUUUAGUUUCUACAUAGAAAGAGGUUUUGCAGAAAGAUACAUCCAACUUUAAGUAACAGUUGCUACCUCAGUACCCAAGAAGUUAGCCUUGUAAAAACCCUAUCCACUUGUUGACAAAAGUAUACAGGACAUGAUGAAUCAGCAGACAGCAUGAAAGACAAAUAAGCUCCAUUGCUUCAUAUUCGCUGAAUCCUGUGCAAACUAGCUACAGUCCAUAUGCAUGAAAUGUGCAUCUUUCCACUGUUACACAUAUAAUUCUCACAGCAGUUCUGUUUUUAGAACUUCAGAAGCCAUUAUUACUAAGGCUUACAUUAUUUCAUUAGGUGAAGGGAAAAAAUGGACCACAGAUUUUAGACAUGAGAAUGAAAAAAAACAAUGAUGAAUUUUGGUCAGCAUCAACUAUAACAUUUUUGCAAUCAAGAAAACACAAGCAUUUGCACUAAUAAGCCAAAUCAAUUAAAUUAUUUACAUGUCAUUAGGAGGCAACUAAAUCCUGAAUCUUAAUACAUAUUAUUCUUACAAAAACGCCUGUCAUUUUCUUAGAUCAUUUUUUCAUGACUUAUGACACAAGGUGGCCUUCUUCACACCUAAGCUACCUAAGCUCCAAGUUGUUUCCACACCUUAGUGCUCUUAAAACUUUAAUAAUUAUGACCUAUGAAAGUUUUCAUUCUGUAAAUGUCACCAUAAAACCACCAUUUCUAAGAAACAUGUUGCCCAAAAAGCCCAAUCUUUGUUUAUCUGACAUAUCUGUCAUUGUCUUAUUAAGAUAAAAGUGAAAACAGUAUUCACCAUUGUCAUAACCACAAAACAUUUAACAAAUAUUUAUGACGUGACAUUAGGACCGGCUGAAUCAUAGUCCUAGUCACAGUACCACUGGAAAAAGGAGUAGAUGCAAGUGGCAUAGGAGAAUAAAUGGGAAAAGCACUGGUUCAAAUGCAUACUGACAGAUGCAUCAGAACAAUAAUUUGCAAAUGAUGCUAAUCUCAAGUUUGAUUUUAACAACUAUCUUAUUGCCGGGCUGGCUUUCCCAAGUAAUAGAUGAUAAUUGGCAGUUCAAGUGUAAUUUUUACUUGCAUGUAGGUUAUAUUUUUUUGUCCCAUACCUUGGAAAAAGAGAAGGAGCAUUCUGCAGGCCACGGAUUCGGCUUUGCCACUUUUCAACUUUUCUAUUAGUUCACCACACUUGCGGUAUAAUUUUCUUCCUUUAGGGUCCUGACUCAAUUGAAAAAUCUUACUGACAAAGUCAAGUUCUCGCAUCAGGAUCUCUCGGUCCCAUCCAGGAGCGCACUGCUGGAAGACAUCUUUAACCCAACCUAACAACUCGGAUGUUCUGUGGCAUGCUUGGCACCUGAAAAGCAUCUCUGUAUGGCCAACUCCGCUCUUAACAGACUGACCUGUUCCAAUUUGGCCAACCCGCAUGGCACAAUCUGUGUGAGUCCAGUGUGUGCAUGUAUCACAUCCAAUCCAGCGGCAUGUAUUCACCUCAAAAUCAAACUUGUUGCAGAUCACACACAUACAGAGAUUGCAGAAACCAUUCCUACUGGAACAAAUCUCACAGCUGCAUUCAUCUGCAGGGAGAGCACUUUGACAAGCAAUGUUUCUGCACCUCUUGUACAAGAAAACCUCGAUGAGGCGACUCUGUGGAAUGCUGACGCUUGGAUGCAAGAAGGCCUGAAUGCCUGAAUUGAUUGCAACAAGAAUUUCCAGUUGCACACGAUGAGCACCAGCAAGGGAUUUGGCGGUCAGGUCAACUCUCCCCUGCACAAGCUUCUGAAGAUACAGAAACUCCUCUAUUUGAUGAGAACCACCUGUACCCUCAAGUAUCUGCCGAAGCUCACCCUUAAGCUCCUCUAGAAGCUCAUCUGGCAUGACCUUGAUUUUCUCAGCAACAACAUCAACCCUGUCUCGAGCAAUUUCAUGGAGCGAUAACCUAUUUGCGUUGGAAACCCUCCGAAUGACCUGCAGUUUAGCAACUUCAUUCUCUCCUUCCUUUUCCUUCUCUAUUUUAUGUCCUCCAAUGACAUCAGGGUGGUUUGUCUCAAUGGGCCAGGUUUCACGAGAGCUGGCGCUCUCUGUGGGCGAGUCUUGCCCUUGGUCAGAAUUAGAUCCUGGCUCUUGGGUGUCGGGUGAUGCUGCAGGGUCUGAUGAAGCCAGGGAAAGGGAUGUCUGCAGGCCUGACGACCUCGGAUGCUGGCGUGGUGGUAGCAUAGAGAGUGGUGAUUGGUGGUGGUGAUUUGUGACAGAAGGGGUACCCAUUUCAAUUGUUGUUUUCUCAAAACUCUACCUGCCACAUUUCAAGGGUUUGAUCAGCACAUCGGAAUCACUUGAGGAUUUGAAAUCCUUCUCUAAAUUAUUAUAAAUAACAAAAAGAAGUACCCAUCAAAACUGAAAAAACACUUCGUGACGGGUUCAUGCAUGGAUGCAUGAAAAGGAACGUCCCUUUCCAAGAUCCAAUUCUUUGUCUGAUGCAUAGUGCCAAAGUCUAAUUUUUCUUGCUCGACAAAACAGUCGAAUUAUAUGUUUCUACUAAAAAACAAUCAAAAUAUGCACGCAAGAAAGCAUUUAUCUACGAAUUGUUGAAACUAGAAACCAAGAUGAACAUCAAAUCUAAAACGCUUUAGCAUGGCAACGAACCUCCGCUCCCAAUAUCCUAACAUUUUCAGAACAUAACGACAAAAACGAAUCUUGCUCCAGAAAUCAGACCAAUACAUGCCUCUGUAAAAGAAUACGCAUUUCCAGAUUCCAAAACCCUAAUUUAAGGUAAAAACAGCGAGAGAACCGAGAGAAGGGGAAGGACAAAUUUUUGGACGAGAAAACCAAAGAGGAAACUACUAAAAUUUCUAUUAGGAUGAUUCGCCACAAAUUCAACAUGGCGCCAGCUAAAUCACCAGAACGAAAGCAGUAAUUAAGAACCCCACAAGCAGAGAUUCGAUCCCCAAACCAGAAGGUGGACGAAUUAGGGUGAUCCGCAGCAAGAUGGCAUACCUAGAGCUGAAUUCGACGCGGAGAAAAGCCGCCAGAAGACUGCAGGAAGACCGGGAGAAGAGGGAUCGACCGAAUCCAGAGGAGUGGGAGUAAAGAGAGGGGAGAAGAAAGGGAUUAGGGUUUGCUGCGAUCUCUCCCCACCCUUUUCCUCUGCGGAAAGGAGGGCGGAGCGGGUUUCAACUUUCAACGCGUCAAAUGCGAUGACCGGCGCAACCGGGGGACAGCAACCGGAUGAACUCGUCGCGCACCGCGUCGUGCGAAGGUGAUGUUUCUUUCGGCCCCACCCUAUUAUCCACUAGCAACAUGCCACGUCAUACACGAUGAUGGGCAAUCCAUUACUAAAGCCCGGCGGGAGGAGACCGGGUUAACCGGUCACAUACGCGUCUUGCCUGUCGUCUUGGAGCGUUGCCGAGUCGAUGUUCGUGGGCCGGCUUCUGUCUGCAUGGUGGGCCCUACAGAUAUUUUGUUUUCAAAGGAACCCCUGUCGAAAGAAAAUUUUACAAGUAUAUCCAUCUCCGUUGGCUUCGAAGACACUACUGUAGAGAGAUUGUUUGUGCCAAAACACAAAUUUAAUAUUAUUGAAUGACCAACUCUUUUCCACCAUUUGAUACCUUUCCCCACCCACCCAUCCUCCUCCUCAAUCUACCCUCUUAAUUUAAUUUUCCAUGUAUGUAGAUCUAAUUUUUCCCUUCUCAUCUUCUUUAGUCAGAGAUAAGCCGCCUUCCAUGUACUCCUGGCACUUCUAUCUUGAAGGAGGGUAGAUGUCCUUUUACCAAAAUGCUCAUAAAUAUAAAAGUUUUAUUGGGAGUGCGAUAUAGAAUCUUUCUAUUUAUUGUUAAGAGAUGAAUUUAUCAGAAUAAUAUUUCACUAUUUACAGUUGGAAAAAUACACUAAUGAUAUACGUUGGUGCCGAUUAUCAAGUAUCCAAUUAAUAUAUUACAAAAUAUAAAUUAAUUCGCACCACACAUAUUAUUUUCUUUUAAGACAGACUUUUUUUACUUUCUUGUUAUCCUUACAUCUUAAAAAAAUAAAUAAAAACACUUUAAUUCACCAUCUCUUUAGUGUCAUUAUGCACCUCCUGCACUUCUUUACUUAGAAUACCUUCAAACAUCAAAUCGGACAUAUAAUAGAAGCAUAUGAUUGUUCAUCUUCUGGAUUAUUAAAUACAACUAUUUCUAUUCCUAUUUAAUAAACACUCUCAAAUCCUUCUGGUAAUUGACUUCUGUUUUUAUUUGUUGAGAUAGCUCCAUUUUGAGAACAUCACGGGUAUUACAAUCUUGAUGCACUGUAAAUUUGGCGCAACCUGAUCAAUCUAACAUUCCCAUGGUUGGGAGCCAUUGUUCCGGUGGUCUUCUUCCGGGCUUCACCACGAACUUGUUCUUAAGCCAAAGAAACGGUGGAAUCAUUGCCUCGUUUGGUUACCUUUCUUGUCGACCGGCGAAGGAGGAUGGCAGUUUGCACGCAUCAUCUUCGCCUUCUUCUUAUCCAUUCUGUGCACCGCACUCUCCAAUUGUUCCACCCUCUCCACCAGCCCUGCCAUCAGCCUGCACUGCUGCGAACUCCGCUCAAACAACGCCGCCACCAACCCUUGCAGCCUCUCGCUCUCCGCCAUCACCUUCUUCGCCGCCUCCCCCAUCCCCGAGGCGUCCUUCGAAUCCUUUCUUGGUUCCGCCAUUGCCUGCACCGAAUCCUCGGUCAUGUGCCAUCCUGCAGUCGAUAUCUCGGGUGCUUCCUCUGCCGGGGCCGUCGUUGGUUCCCUCUUCUCUUGCUCCAUUGAAUCAGAAAGUGCUGCUUUGUCCGUAACGACAUCGCCGUCUACGCAUUUUGCUCCCCAGUUGGCCUUCGACAGAGGAGUGCCGGUAGCUUCCUCCACUGUUACCAACACGAAGCCUUCAUCCUUUGCUUCCGGUUCUGGAUCUUGGCUAGCUUGAGAGGCAGAUUCAUGGGCGGCAUUGGAGUCCGGAUCUUGACAUUCUUGAGCCGAGGCUUCUUCGGUGUUGGCGCCAUCGGAAUCGUCCUCCUGAGGCGUCCCCUCCACCUCUUCACGGUUAUCUGGCUGCAUCUCCGCCGAAAUCGGUGGUUCAGAAUCAAUGGGAUCCGACGAUUCAAGGGUCUGGGCCGAGAUCGAAUCCAGGGCCUCCUGGAGCGCGAUCACCCUCCGGAUCGUCUUCUUCCGGUACUCCCUUACCCCGCGGACAGAGUCCAGACGGAGGAGCAGCGCCAUCAGCAUCUCGCCCACCAGCAGCAGCUCCUUGGGAUCCACCCUCAGCCGCUCCAUCUCCGAGCAAACCCUCCGCUCGAUCUCUUCCACCUCCGUCGCGAUCCGGGAGACGACUCUCACGUUCUUCCGCACCAUGUGGCCUCUAAAGAUCCUCUGAAUGGCAACAGCCGCUGACGACCGAACCGCCUCAGACGGCGGCGCCCUCGCGGGCUUCGUGACGGCGGGAACCUCGUCCGACCCAUCGAAGUGGUCGGGCAUGUAGACGACGCGAGGUUUCGCAGUGAACACGGGCGCGGGGCAGUGUGGGUGGUGGCGGCGGCCGGCGGCGCUCCAUGGGUCGGCGGCGUAGAAGAAGGGGCUCUCGAUGUGCCGGGACCGCGGGCCGCCGGCGGCGCUCCAUGGGUCGGCGGAGUAGAAGAAGGGGCUCUCGAUGUGCCGGAACCGCGGGCCGCCGGCGGCGCUCCAUGGGUCAGCGGAGUAGAAGGAGGGGCUCUCGAUGUGCCGGGACCGCGGGACUCCGGCGGUGCUCCAUGGGUCAGCGGAGUAGAAGGAGGGGCUCUCGAUGUGCCGGGACCGCGGGACUCCGGCGGCGCUCCAUGGGUCAGCGGAGUAGAAGAAGGGGUUCUCGAUGUGCCGGGACCGGCGGCCCGCGGCGCACAAUGGGUCGAUCGAGUAGAAGAAGGGGCUCUCCAUGUCUCUGCGUUGAUCGAAAGCUUAGAGAAGAAAAAUGUUCGUCUUGAAUUGAGAUCACAGAGAUGUGUGUAUAUAUACAGGCACGGUGUGCGUGGAGAGGAAGCAAAAGGGCACGAAGAGGCUUCUGGAGGAAGUGUAGAUACGGGCACGGUGUGCGUGGAGAGGAAGCAAAAGGGCAGGAAGAGGCUUCUGGAAGAAGCGAGAGAAUGAGGUCCGGGAAGAAGGUUCCACUUCCUUCUAGAAGGCGCGAGAGAGGGUGGAAAAAUAUUGGACUAUUUUCCAUCAAAAGCCCAAAUAGAAUUCGACUUUUUGAUAUGAUCAAAUUUCAUAAUAUCGACCAAAAAUAUUACAAUGCUUAAUUAGUUCAUAUCUCCAUCUGAUCUUAAUCAUCAACUAUAUUAUAUGUUUUAAGAUCUCAUAAAAUAAUCCAUUUGAAAGUCUCUGCAUGAUUUUGGAUGAAAAUAAAAGAGUAAUCACUUAAUCUUACCUAUGGGUAUGUCCAUCUUGAAAAAUGUUAUAAUAUUUGUUUUAAUUUAUUGGGAAAGAAUGAUCAUUUAAAAUGGUAAGGCAUUCCUAAUUACUAUGUUUUCGAAUGGACUUAAUGGUGGACUUAUGUAUAAUCAAGUUUUAAUCUAUUUAAAUCCCCACAAACCAUAAUAUUUAAUUUUAGUAUACCUUUUGAGAACCUAUAAAAUGAUUUAUUUGAGAGUUUUUGAAUGAUUUUGGAUUGAAAUUAACAAGCUUUUGAAUAUUUCACAAUAAAGGAUGACAAAUCCCCUUCAUUUAUUAUGAAAAAUAACAAUGAAAUUGAUGAGAUAUUACCUAGUCAUAGUGUUUUAGUUGGACCAAAACACUAUAACUGUUCUAAACAUUGUUAGUAAGCUUCAAUUAAUUUAAAUACCCACUAACCUUGAUUAUCAAGUUUAUUAUAGUUUUUAAGGUUCAUAAAAUCAUCUAUUUGAGAAUUUAAAUUGUUUUUAACUGAAAUUGGGAAUGUUUUUGAUGUAUUUCAAAAUAAAAGAUGACAAAUCUUUUUUUUUAUCAUUUAUCCUUAAUUUUAAUCUUUUUUGGGAAUAUAUUAUAAUAUUUGUGUUAAUUUAUUAUGAAAUAAUGACAAUAAGAAAAAAUAUUGACAAAUAUUGAACAAAAAAUACUCUAACUUUAUUGACAAAUAUUGUAACUGAGCUUUAAUGAAUUCAAAUCCCUACUAACAUGAUAUCAAUUUUACUAUAGGUUUACAUUUACAAAGGAAAAGACCUUUUUUUAAGGGUAUUCUAGAAGAAUCCAAAAUAUGAUGCUUUUCUUUGAAAUUACUUUUCCUUUUUAAUUUAAGAUUUUUUCCUAAAAAAAUCUUUAUUUUUCAAUAUCUAAAAAUAUAACUCGAUAUUAGCACACAUAAACUAAUUUUUAUUUCUAUUAUUUAUUCAAUAAUACACAUAAACUAACUUUUAUUUCUAUUAUUUUAUUCAUAUCAUAUGAUUUGAUAAAUUAAUGAAACCCAUAUUUAAAUCCUAAACUCUUAGUAUUGUAUGUAGCUUUUGCUUCCAAGUAUGUCUUAGAAUAUGAUGUCGGGUUAUGUUUGAUAUCCUUGAUAGAAAUGAAAUCCCAUAAUUGCUAAGAUGCGUAUGUGAUGUAUAGUUUGAACAGAUUGGCCAAGUUGGGACGUCAAACACACAGCUGUUUACCAAGUUCAGAAUCAAGCAGCAUAAAUUUGUCUUGGAUCUAUGUAUACACUGACAUGUUGCUGAUUGAAAUAGUGACUUGAAGGGGAAAAAGGAAGUAUCAAAACCAGUAUUUUGGAUACAAUUGGAUCAUUACAAAGAUAAUGGCAUGUAUAUAAUUUACAAAGAUAUCAGUUGACACAGGUUAGUAGACAUAUAUCGGUAUCGUACUGAUUCAAUAAGUUAUCGAAAUUGAUACCGGAACCAAAUUGAAGUCCUUGGCCAGGGCAAGGAUUAUGGCCUUUCCAAUAUACUCGAAACACCGUGGCAUUACUCCAAACUUGAACCAAAAGGAAUAAGAGGAAACGAGGCAGGAGAACAACAAAGGGUUAAGAAGUAGGAGUAGUUGCAUUUGGAGCUCAAGGCUCUACCUUCAGGGAGACAACCCGUGAUCGUCUUUUGCGCUUUGCCACCUUUACAAACACUGCCGACAGGCAUUGCGGCACCCACCAUGGCUUGCGAACUUCUUGCUCCCCUCUCAGGCAUGCAACUGCAUUUACAUGCAAGUAGCAGAUUUUAGAAAACCAUGACUGUUGAAAGAGUUUGAUCACUUGUACAAAAGAAAGAGUUAACAUAAGUGCACCAAUCUUUAUAGCAGAAACAACAAGAUGGAAGGAUUACAUAUUGAUCGUUCGAACAAAAGAAAUAGGUGUGAUUGCAUAAAUGCACCAAUUUUGUGGCAAAAACAACAAUAUGGAAGAAUUACUUUGUGUCAAACAACCAUUACUUCAGAACUGGAGAUCAUAUGAUCAAGUUAUAAAUGUUUCAUCAUCUUGCAAUUUAUCUGUAUAGUUGAAGAAAGUGAAUGGUCAAUCAAGAGAAUCAUGUAAACUAUGAAUUGUUGUCCCCACAAUCUAAUGAUCCUAGCAAUAGGAUAAUAUCUACCACCCUACACCAUCUAUGCAUGGAGUUGCAUGAAAAUGAAUUAUAAACUUCAGUGAGCUUUUUCUAGAUUUUUCUUCAAUGGAUGCAUGCUCUAAGACACUCAUUGCUGGUUAAUCAUUGCUAAAUUCCAUGCGACUUCCAUUCAGCCAACUUGAAUUUAGCAUACCUAGAAGUAAAAGCUUGUUACUUCUGCGAAAAAAAAAAGUGUCAAUGUAAUAAAGAUAGAAUCUCAGUUUGCUUAUAGCAUAUUUUCUGAUAAUAACAUUGCUGUUCCACAUUUUCUUACAUUAUACUAGAUAAUUACAGCAUUGUUCUCUAUAACAACUUCCAUGAAAAGAACAGUACCUGUCACGGAUAAAAGAUUCAAUAGAAGAAUGAUGGAUUUAUGAAUCUAUUCAGUUCUUUUAAAAAAAAUUAACUGCCACACCUUAAAAUAUUCAUGCAUUUCAAAUUUUGUCAGAUAAAUAAUUGUUAAUGCCCUCUUCAACUUCCUUGAUGAAAAGAAAAGCAAGGCUACUAACUUGCAUCAUUGAGAGAAUUAACAAGAAGCAUGAAAUUUCAUUCAAUCACUACAACCCACCAUUUACUAUCUUCUGAGUUACAAGCUUUUAAACUAAGUUACAGCAAAUCACCAAUUUUUGUAGAUAAGAUCAUUAAUUAAAACAGCAGAGCUUUAUCGUUCCAUCUUUCUUUUUGUACAAGCAAAUAAAAAAUUAAGCAAGAUAAUACUAAAGAUGGAUAAUGGACCGAUAAGCACACAUAAUCCUGAUGAACUUCUGACAGCCACAGUAUGUAACAGCUACAGAAUCAGGUGUGGUUGGACCUGGAUAUCACUUGCAUUCUGGCCCAAAGUAGGUUCAGAAAUAAGGAGAUACAAAAGUUAACAUGAUCAGUAAAUCGUAAAUUAAAGAAAGCCAAACGAUAGUUUAAGUCUAUUCCAUGUUGAAAUCAAAUUAAUUAUUCUUAAUAAAAGAUUGCUUAAAUCAUUUAGUUCUAACUUAUCAAACAUAGAAAAAGAGAGUAUGAUCCAUGGCAACAAAUUAGAUACCUGUUUUAAACAAAUUAGAUAUGCAAUCAAAUUAUUGAGAACAUCAUCAUUAAUGUAAAAACUAUGAUCUAGUUACAGGCUCCAUUACAAAAAAUAAUUUUUUUGAUGACAUUGUAUAGAAGUACAUAUAUUUAAGAUUAGUAACAUAAACCAGGUUUGUGUGUCAAUACCCAGAUCAUUUUUAUCAAUGUGUCAUAUUUAGACCCAUACCAUGUCCAUAUGCCCAUAGCUCGAGUUCGGUCGGGCUGGGUUGGAUCCAUGUAGGGUCCGGAUUGGGUACAGGUAAGUGGGGCUUAGUACCAUCUCCAGUGACAACAAGCAAGUGCAAAAAAUAUUGAUCUCAAAGCAAUCAACAGAGAAAGUUUUGUUACAGUAACAAGAUAAAGAGUAAUACAUCCUUUUGAAAGCAAAAAACAACAGUUGUAAACAACGUCACAUCAUUGUACCCAUGAUUAGGUUUUGUAUGAUGCUCGUCUUCAGUUUUAGAGGAUCUUCUUACAACUACAGUGGCACAUCGGGAAUGCUAGGUUAGUGGGAAAAAGUAAAUGAGAUCAUGAACAGUAAAAAAGAUGUUUAUGAACAGACUAUUAUAAUCAGAAAACAAAAAAAACUGCUUUUGCAGCAUCACUUGUACAGUUUAGGAGUACUUUUCUAAAUUCAAAAAUUUUAGGUCAUGAUUAGUAAAUAUUUGGUUGAUGCAAAAUGAAAUCUAUUAUACUUUGUACAACUUAUGAUAGAGGAUUUCAUGAGUUUAGUGUAUGAAACAAAUCAUUCACAUUAAAUGUAUAAAGGGACACUCAUGAAGUGAAAUGGACCUAAAAAAUCAAUAUACAUAAGUCCAACCUUAAUUUCACCCUCGAAACAAAUCAACAGAUCUAGUUAACUUGAAGUAUUAAGACAAAAUUUUGAUCCAAAUCCACCAGACCAACUAAUGGAUCAAUUAUCAACUCUAAUGAACAGGCAGUUUGAUAACAGGUCACCUUAACCUUUAUCAUCAAGAUAAAAAUUCUGAUUUCUGGUAAUCACUUCAAGUUUUUGUUUCCUUGUUAACUGGUUGGGUGAGUCAAGAGCCAAGAUAAUGCUUCAGCUUAACUAAGUCAAUGAGGUUACGUAUCAACUAUCAACUAAAAGAGGUAACAACAUGAAAACUUUUCUUUGUGCAACAGAUCUAGUAACUGUAAUGCUUAUUCCAGCAACCUGUAUGAGUUACAAACUAUUUUUGUAACUCUUCAUUGUUUCCUUUUUUAUAUGUCAAAACAUUCAUCAGUAAAAGAUCAACAACAAGCCAACAUAAGGGUGGGCUGUAUCUUGAAUUCCAAUAAGCCACUAGUGACAGAAACCUUGACUUUCUUCUCGAGUAUUAUCAACCUUCAGCUUUCACGGUAGAAAAGCAUGCAUAUGUUCAUAGGAAAAAGACAUGAAACACAAACUGUAGUGGCUAAUAAGUAAUCGAAGAUGUGAAAGUUCUUCAGUUAUCGAAUGCCAGAUGAAUUUUCACAACAGCC
rnacentral:lncRNA from 1 species